rnacentral:lncRNA from 1 species
CUGGAGUCUGCGAAGGCCGGGACCCGGUUCCCCGGCCCACAGUGGGGGUGUGCAAACCCGAGAGAACUGGGAAGUGCCGUCAGAAGCGAUAACUGACGACGUCUAAUGUCUAUCUGACCGCAGUCGCUGAAACCUCUACAACUUAGUUGACCGUAACUGCCAGAGCCCUGCCCUGAAUUCCUGUCCUUACUCCCUCUUUAAGAUUGCGUACCCACUGCAGAGUGCUGAAGACGGGGUAGCCACGAGGUGAGAGGCUCUCUGGUGUAGGGUUUAACAUGGAACGUAGUUUUGUCACUUGAAUGCACGGAAAUUGGCGUUUUGACAGUUUUCUACGUUUAGGUGUUUUAUACACUUUAGGGUAACGUUAUCAUGUCAUUGCAUAGGGUGGAACUUAAAUAGAAACUGGAGAUGGCUGCUUCAGCCACAGUCCUAACCUAGAACUGCAUUUAAAGCAAACUGAUAAUGCAGAAACAAACUCCUUCGUUAAGAAAUGUCUCCAGUAGCAGGGUUAGCUUAAGUUUCAGGUAGGGUCUAGAUCUGCGGUUGGAACAGUACUGGAGGGUUGUGAGGUGCUUGACUGCUCUGAUGAAAUCACUAAUAGGAAGUGCCGUCAGAAGCGAUAACUGACGAAGACUACUCCUGUCUGAUUGCAGUCAAGUCUUCACCACUUGCUGGUUCCCAGGAGUAAACUUGUUUGAACGGUGACCUAAUUGCUAUAUUCACCUAGGUUGCAAAUUCGUGAAGAAUCAGCAUCAUGUUUGGCAGCUGAGUAUUGGAGCCAGGAGCCUGCCAUGAGGUUUUGAGAACAGAGUGCUGUUUUAGAGCUGGCAGCAGCAUCUCAGCCCAAGAGAAGGUUAUAUUCCCAGAGGAUGUCAGUCCCAAGGACCAGUAGCUGCCAUCAGUUUGGAUUCUGAAAACUAACUGGCAUCAACACUGGGUGUAGAAACAUGCUUGCCUUAUGUAUCAGAGGACAUGCUCAGCAGAUCCA